rnacentral:rRNA from 1 species
ACUGGGCGUAAAGCGCGCGUAGGUGGCUUGAUAAGCCGGUUGUGAAAGCCCCGGGCUCAACCUGGGAACGGCAUCCGGAACUGUCAGGCUAGAGUGCAGGAGAGGAAGGUAGAAUUCCCGGUGUAGCGGUGAAAUGCGUAGAGAUCGGGAGGAAUACCAGUGGCGAAGGCGGCCUUCUGGACUGACACUGACACUGAGGUGCGAAAGCGUGGGUAGCAAACAGGAUUAGAUACCCUGGUAGUCCACGCCGUAAACGAUGUCGACCAGCCGUUGGGUGCCUAGCGCACUUUGUGGCGAAGUUAACGCGAUAAGUCGACCGCCUGGGGAGUACGGCCGCAAGGUUAAAACUCAAAUGAAUUGACGGGGGCCCGCACAAGCGGUGGAGCAUGUGGUUUAAUUCGAUGCAACGCGAAGAACCUUACCUACCCUUGACAUCCUGCGAAUUCGGUAGAGAUACCUUAGUGCCUUCGGGGAACGCAGAGACAGGUGCUGCAUGGCUGUCGUCAGCUCGUGUUGUGAAAUGUUGGGUUAAGUCCCGUAACGAGCGCAACCCUUGUCCUUAUUUGCCAGCGCGUAAUGGCGGGAACUCUAAGGAGACUGCCGGUGACAAACCGGAGGAAGGUGGGGACGACGUCAAGUCAUCAUGGCCCUUACGGGUAGGGCUACACACGUGCUACAAUGGCCGGUACAAAGGGCGGCGAGCUCGCGAGAGUCAGCGAAUCCCUUAAAGCCGGUCUCAGUCCGGAUCGGAGUCUGCAACUCGACUCCGUGAAGUCGGAAUCGCUAGUAAUCGUGAA